AGCAGUUGAACAUGGGUCAGUCGGUCCUAAGCGAUAGGCGAGCGCCGUUCCGAAGGGGCGGGCGAUGGCCUCCGUUGCCCUCAGCCGAUCGAAAGGGAGUCGGGUUCAGAUCCCCGAAUCCGGAGUGGCGGAGACGGGCGCCGCGAGGCGCCCAGUGCGGUGACGCAACCGAUCCCGGAGAAGCCGGCGGGAGCCCCGGGGAGAGUUCUCUUUUCUUUGUGAAGGGCCGGGCGCCCUGGAAUGGGUUCGCCCCGAGAGAGGGGCCCGCGCCUUGGAAAGCGUCGCGGUUCCGGCGGCGUCCGGUGAGCUCUCGCUGGCCCGUGAAAAUCCGGGGGAGAGGGUGUAAGUCUCGCGCCGGGCCGUACCCAUAUCCGCAGCAGGUCUCCAAGGUGAACAGCCUCUGGCAUGUUGGAACAAUGUAGGUAAGGGAAGUCGGCAAGCCGGAUCCGUAACUUCGGGAUAAGGAUUGGCUCUAAGGGCUGGGUCGGUCGGGCUGGGGCGCGAAGCGGGGCUGGGCGCGCGCCGCGGCUGGACGAGGCGCCGCGCGCGGCCGCCCG
rnacentral:ncRNA from 1 species